rnacentral:rRNA from 1 species
GAUGAACGCUGGCGGCGUGCCUAAUACAUGCAAGUCGAGCGAACAGACGAGGAGCUUGCUCCUCUGACGUUAGCGGCGGACGGGUGAGUAACACGUGGAUAACCUACCUAUAAGACUGGGAUAACUUCGGGAAACCGGAGCUAAUACCGGAUAAUAUAUUGAACCGCAUGGUUCAAUAGUGAAAGACGGUUUUGCUGUCACUUAUAGAUGGAUCCGCGCCGCAUUAGCUAGUUGGUAAGGUAACGGCUUACCAGGGCAACGAUGCGUAGCCGACCUGAGAGGGUGAUCGGCCACACUGGAACUGAGACACGGUCCAGACGCCUACGGGAGGCAGCAGUAGGGAAUCUGCCGCAAUGGGCGAAAGCCUGACGGAGCACCGCCGCGUGAGUGAUGAAGGUCUUCGGAUCGUAAAACUCUGUUAUUAGGGAAGAACAAAUGUGUAAGUAACUAUGCACGUCUUGACGGUACCUAAUCAGAAAGCCACGGCUAACUACGUG